rnacentral:rRNA from 1 species
UGAGGAAUAUUGGACAAUGGAUGAAAAUCUGAUCCAGCCAUGCCGCGUGCAGGAAGAAUGUCCUAUGGAUUGUAAACUGCUUUUGUAUGGGAGCAAUAAGGUCUUCGUGAAGGCCGAUGAGAGUACCAUACGAAUAAGCACCGGCUACCUCCGUGCCAGCAGCCGCGGUAAUACGGAGGGUGCAAGCGUUAUCCGGAUUUAUUGGGUUUAAAGGGUGCGUAGGCGGUUAUAUAAGUCAGCGGUGAAAUUUUUCGGCUCAACCGGAAACAUGCCGUUGAUACUGUAUAGCUUGAGUAUGGUUGCUGUGAGUGGAAUGUGUAGUGUAGCGGUGAAAUGCGUAGAUAUUACACAGAAUAUCGAUUGCGAAGGCAACUCACAAAGCCAAUAUUGACGCUGAGGCACGAAAGUGUGGGGAUCAAACA